rnacentral:rRNA from 1 species
GACGAACGCUGGCGGCGUGCUUAACACAUGCAAGUCGAGCGGUAAGGCCCUUUCGGGGGUACGACGAGCGGCGAACGGGUGAGUAACACGUGGGUGACCUGCCCUCAGCUCUGGGAUAAGCCUGGGAAACCGGGUCUAAUACUGGAUAUGACUCCAUGACGCAUGUUGGUGGGGUGGAAAGCCUUGUGCGGCUGAGGAUCGGGCCCGCGGCCUAUCAGCUUGUUGGGUGGGGUGANGGCCUACCAAGGCGACGACGGGUAGCCGGCCUGAGAGGGCGACCGGCCACACUGGGACUGAGACAC